rnacentral:lncRNA from 1 species
AUAUACAUGCUUGAGUUUCAAAACAAAAUUCUUGUGAACAAUUCCAAUCAAAACCCUAAAUCAACUAGAAUGUAUAUGUUUUUUUUUAUCAAAGCUCUCAUGUUAGGCAAACUAGCAUAUAAUGUUGCAUAGAAACUUAAUGAUUAUUUUUUACCCCACUUAAUCUUCUUGUUUGAUUUGGUCAUGGAGCAUCACUUCCAAUAUUUGGUGCCUUGAAUAAAUAAAAAAUAAUUGUAAUAUUAGAUACCAAUUUAUAAUUUUUUAUUAAUAAGAGAAACUACUUUAGAUAUCAAUAUCAUUUUUUAGUUUAUAAAGUAGCAUCUAACUUAUUCAAUGUAGUAACUAAUCAUUUUUUUCUCUAAAAUUUAUUUUUAUAUUUAAUAAUUUUUUUUAUAGUGUUGAAAUACCAAAAAUUUAUAUAUUACAAUUGCUUUCUAUGUAUUUUUUAUAUUUUAAAAUAUUAUAUAAUUUGUUUAUAAUAGAAUAAACAACCAUUCAAUUAUUCAAACACUUUUUUAUUGGGACAAUUUUAUUUCUUAAAUAAAAAAUGAAAAAUUUAUGGAGGCAAUUUUUUAUUCUUUGUAACUUGUUUCUCUCUCACUCUCUGAUAGACUAGCUAAUAUAGCUCUGCACUAAUUGAAAAAAAAAAUACAAAUAUAUGUAUCAACGUGGAAAAUGCUAUCUUAUAAGUACAAACAGUAAUAACAUCUUCCCAACUAGUUACAUAUUUUUCAUACAAUAUUUUGAUAAAUUUAUGUGAGCAUAAUGCAUGAAUGCAUUUAUCACAUGGAUAUAUAGACAGAAGAUGCACACGUGUAGUGACGUCCAACCAAACAUCAUCGACACAAUGUAUUUGUAAAAGAGAAAUUCAGUUAUUCUCUUUGUUUGUGUAAAGUGAAGAAUAAAAUUGUGCAAAAUAUAUAUAUAUAUAUAUAUAUAUAUAUUAGCGUAUAUAAAUUAAUUUUAAUUUAUAAAAAACAAAUUUUUUGGAUGAGAAAAUAUCCUCUGAAAUUUUUGAAAGAUAACAGAAGAUAGUGGUACUGAUGGAAAUAGUAUUCCGAAAGAAGUGAAAGAAAUGAAGUUUGAGUGGUGAUGUCAAUUGAUACUUUGCUUCCAAACUGAGUUCACAUUCAACUCUAAUAAAUCAAUAACAACAUGGCAUUACAUAUGGCAUUACGUCAUUAUGAGAACAAUUACCACUGUUAAAUAUUACUUUCUUUAUGUUUUGAUGUUUGAAUUUGGUAGAUGUGUGGAACGAGUAAAUAUGUGAAAAUUUAAAAGAAAGUACGAAUGUGAAUAUGUUUGGAUUCAAAACAGUAAAAUUGAUUUGUGAGAAAAAUUUAUUGAAAUUUGUGAAUGGUAGGAUUGAUAAAAUAACUGUACCCUUUAUUAAUAACUGCACACCUUUGCACACUUUUGUUUUGGGUCUUCCAUUUUUUGGGUUUUUGUUUUUCUCUUUGUAAUCUGUGUUUUGCUGUUUGACAUGUACAUAUAUAUAUUCUUAUGGAUCCAAUAAUAAUUAGUUUUUUCUGUGCCAUUAAGUUUCACAAUUCAGACUUCUUUCCCUCUCUUUGUUCUCUGUUUUCUCUCCCUCUCUGUUUAGGGUUUGUCAUCCUCUGUUGGUUGGUGCCUUGGGUGAUUGCUAUCUCUUUGCCAUGGCGGUUAAUCGCAUUAUGGUAUCAUAGCUCUUCAAUUGAAGAGCUCUGUUGCGCACUCUGAAAACUUUCUUUCUUUUAUUCUUCUUGAAUUUAUUUUCCUUGUUUCUCUGUUUGCAGCAAUGGCAGAAGAACGCGUCACUUCUUCGUCUCAACCCGAUCCGAUGAACAGCUACCUCUACCUUCAUCCUAGCGACAACCCCGCUGCUCCGCUCGUCUCACCGGUGUUGGACGCUUCCAAUUACCACUCCUGGAGCCGCUCGAUCUUAACGCUAAAAACAAAGUGGAGUUCGUUCUCGGAAUGCAUCCUUGCCCAGAAAAAGACCAUCGAAAUUUCUCAGUUUGGAACAGAUGCAAUAAUAUGGUAGUCUCAUGGUUAGUACACUCCGUUUCUUUACCUAUUCGGAAAAGCAUUAUUUGGAUGGAUAGUGCCCUAGACAUCUGGAAUGACUUGAAAACUAGAUACUCUCAGGGUGACCUAUCUAGAAUUUCCGAUCUUCAAGUAGAAGUAGCUUCUUUAAAUCAGGGGGAUUUAUCUGUGACUGAGUAUUUUACAAAAUUAAGGAUAAUUUGGGACGUGUUGGACAACUUUAGGCCUAUCCCCAUGUGCACAUGUUCUGUAAAAUGUUUCUGUUUAGUUAAUUCGAUCAUAAGUCAAAGAAAGUGCGAAGAUUAUGCCAUGCAAUUUUUGAGAGGGUUAAAUGACCAAUAUAGUAAUGGUAGAUCACACGUUCUUCUCAUGGAACUCAUCCCACCUAUAUCAAAGAUCUUUUCUCUCGUUGCCCAGCAAGAAAGACAAUUAGCAAACCACAUUUAUGUUAGCAUAUCUAGUAUUAACAGUGUUGAUUCCACUAGGACAUCCUCAUCUACUCUGUGCACUUUUUUUGUGGUAAGCAUGGGCACACUGAAAAUGUUUGUUUUAAAAGAGUUGGGUUCCCUCAUCAAGACAAUAGGAACUCCAAACCUAACACUAGAAAGGUAUGCACGCACUGUAACAGAAAUGGUCACACUGUGGAUACCUGUUACAAGAAACAUGGCUACCCUCCUGGGUACAAAUACUAUAACAGCAAUAGGACUAGUCAGAUUAACAGUCUUAUUACUACUGAUGGUGUUUUCUCUGAGCCUUGUCCUAAAGAACAGGAAAAACGUGAUUACCAUCUCACUGCACAUCNNNNNNNNNNNNNNNNNNNNNNNNNNNNNNNNNNNNNNNNNNNNNNNNNNNNNNNNNNNNNNNNNNNNNNNNNNNNNNNNNNNNNNNNNNNNNNNNNNNNNNNNNNNNNNNNNNNNNNNNNNNNNNNNNNNNNNNNNNNNNNNNNNNNNNNNNNNNNNNNNNNNNNNNNNNNNNNNNNNNNNNNNNNNNNNNNNNNNNNNGUCUUGUCUGCAAAGCUACGAUGUUGAGCGAACCUGGUUACCACCGCACUCAACUUACCAAAUGGCCAACAUGUUUUUGCAAACUAUUCAGGGACAGUCGUUUUUACAAAUAAAUUUUAUCUUCUUGAUGUGUUGUAUAUCCCUCAAUUUGCAUGCAACCUUAUAUCUGCUUCUAAAUUGUCUCUACACUUAAAAUGUAACUUGAUCUUUUCCCCCACACACUGUCUUAUACAGGACAACCUCUCCAAAGAGCAGAUUGGUUUAGCUAAUGCCAAAGCUGGCUUGUACAUCUUUAACUCUUCUAUUUUUCACACUGCCACACACCACUUUAUUCCUUCUGUCUCCUGCACUGUUAAGGAAAAUAAUCUGUGGCAUUAUAGAAUGGGGCAUCCCUCUGAUGAAAGGUUGCAUGUCUUGAAAAGUCAAUACCCUUUUGUUUUUGCUGAUAAAACUCAUAUGUGUGAUAUUUGUAAUCGUGCAAAACAAAGAAAACUUCCCUUUACUCUAAGCACCUCUCACACUACUGCUAUAUUUGAUAUCAUUCAUGUAGAUAUUUGGGGACCCUGUUUUGUUACAUCUAUGCAAGGUUUUCGUUAUUUUUUGACCAUUGUAGAUGAUUUUUCUCGUUAUACAUGGACUAUAUUGUUGCAUGCUAAAUCUGAAGUUCGCACCCAUCUCAUAAAUUUUAUUGCUUAUGCUGAAAAUCAAUUUAAAACAACCGUCAAAUGCAUUCGUUCUGAUAAUGGUGUUGAAUUUGCCAUCAAAUUAUUUUUUUUUGCUUCCAAAGGCACAGUUCAUCAAACUACUUGCAUUGAAACCCCCCAACAAAAUGGUAUAGCUGAACGUAAACACCAACACAUUUUAAACAUCACUCGCGCUUUACUGUUUCAAGCAAAUUUACCUAAUAUUUUUUGGGACUUCGCUGUCCAACAUGCUGUUUUCCUCAUAAAUUGCACACCCAUUCCCCUUUUACAAGAUAUUGCUCCAUAUGAAAAACUUUUUGGAAAACCUUGUGAUAUCUCUUCCUUACGGGUUUUUGGCUGCUCCUGUUAUUCUACUACCAUUCAUGCUAAUAGAAAGAAAUUAGAUCCUAGAUCUGUUCAUGGUAUAUUUCUCGGCUUUCCACACAAUAUUAAAGGUUACAUCAUCUUAAAUUUAAAGUAUCAUCGCAUUGAAGUUUCAAGACAUGUGAUCUUUCAUGAACAUCAUUUUCCAUACAUAUUGAAUCAUGAUGACAAACAGAGCCCCAACACUUUAUCUUUACCCAUUCCUGCUAACUAUAAUACACUCUGUGAUGAUAUUUUGUUUGAUUAUAACUGUCACAAUCAUGAGCACGAGCCUCCAAUCACUCACAAUGAAGACAACAUUAUUCCAACUAGACGCUCCAGCAGACAAAGACGACCCCCUACCUACUUAGAGGACUUCCAGACUUGCUUACCUGCUGCAAACACUGUAAGUAAUCGGUAUCCCAUUCAUAAAUUUCUUUCCUACACUGCUCUCUCACCUUCUUUCAAAAAGACUAUUUUAUCUAUAUCUUCUAACACUGAACCCAACACUUACACUGAGGCUUCUAAGUAUCAUUGUUGGAAACAAGCAAUGCUAGAAGAGCUUAAUGCUCUCAAUGCUAACAACACAUGGCAGAUCACUAUUCUUCCUCCAGGUAAGAAAACCAUUGGCUGCAAAUGGGUUUUUAAGGUAAAACACAAAGCUUAUGGAACCAUUGAUCGCCACAAAGCAUGGUUGGUAGCAAAAGGCUACACACAAUUAGGAGGUCUUGAUUUUUUAGAUACUUUUGCUCCUGUAGCAAAACUAACCACUUUAAGACUUUUACUUGCUGUUGCCACUUCUCAAAACUGGAUUCUUAAACACGCUUUUCUCCAUGGGGACCUCCUUGAGGAAGUCUACAUGCAACCACCACCAGGCCUCAAACUCCCAUCUCCUCAACAUGUUUGCAAAUUACAAAGAUCACUCUAUGGCCUUCGCCAGGCCGGCCGCCAAUGGUAUGCAAAACUGUCUCAAUUUUUACUUUCACAUAAAUACACUUUAUCCUUUGCUGAUCACUCUCUAUUUUUACAUCAUAACGGACCUAACAUCACCAUUAUUCUUGUGUAUGUUGAUGAUCUGGUGCUUACUGGAAACGAUCAUGAGGAAAUUGCCCAUAUCACCUCUCUGCUGGACACUCAAUUCAAGAUCAAAAACCUAGGAGACCUCACCUAUUUUUUGGGCCUGGAGGUGGCCAGAAACAGCCAAGGGCUCCACAUCUGUCAACGAAAAUACGUACUGGACCUUCUUCAUGAAACCAGCAUGAUCAAUUCUGCUCCUAUGCCUACACCCAUGUUCACUCAUCUCGGCUUUCCUCCUCCGUUGGCACACGACUCAAUGACAUUGAAACCUCUGAAUAUAGAAGACUCAUUGGCAAGCUCAUAUACCUAACCAACACACGACCUGACAUUGCCUUUGCUGUCCACAACCUCAGCCAAUUUAUUUCCUCUCCUACCAAUCUCCAUCAACAAGCUGCUUUUCGUCUUCUUUGGUACUUGAAAGGCAACCCUGGAAAUGGUAUCUUCUUUCACAACAACAACACUCUCCAACUUCGCGGUUUCAGUGACUCGGAUUGGGCUACCUGUCCUGAAACCCGAAAAUCAGUAACCGGUUACUCCAUCUUUUUGGGUGACUCUCUCGUCUCAUGGAAAUCCAAGAAACAACAAACCAUUUCCCAAAGUUCUUCUGAAGCCGAAUAUAGAGCCUUAGCCACAACCACCUGCGAGAUUCAAUGGCUAACCUAUAUCCUGCAAGACCUUGGUAUUUCCUAUAUCCAACCAGCAACCAUCUACUGUGACAACCAAUCUACAAUAAACAUUGCCUCAAAUCAAGUGUUUCAUGAGCGUACCAAGCACAUCGAUAUUGACUGUCACAUCGUCCGAGACAAGAUCACCGUUGGGCUUCUCAAGUUGCUUCCAAUCUCUUCCUCUAUGCAAAUUGCAGAUAUCCUUACAAAACCCCUUGCUCCAACAAUAUACAAAGAGAUCCAGUCCAAGCUGGGAAUGAGAAACAUAUAUUCCCAGCUUGAGGGGGGCUGAUAAAAUAACUACCCUUUAUUAAUAACUGCACACCUUUGCACACUUUUGUUUUGGGCCUUCCAUUUUUUGGGCUUUUGUUUUUCUCUUUGUAAUCUGUGUUUUGCUGUUUGACAUGUACAUAUAUAUACUCUUAUGGAUCCAAUAAUAAUUAGUUUUUCUGUGCCAUUAAGUUUCACAAUUCAGACUUCUUUCCCUCUCUCUGUUCUCUGUCUUCUCUCCCUCUCUGUUUAGGGUUUGUCAUCCUCUGUUGGUUGGUGCCUU